rnacentral:tRNA from 1 species
GUUGUCGUGGCCGAGUGGUUAAGGCGAUAGAACGGAAAUUAUUUGGCAUCUUCCCACGCAGGUUCGAAUCCUUUCUAACG